CAGGACCAUCUGGCAAAUGGUGCCCAGGCCUUGAGCAUGCAGAGAACCUGAUGGACCCAGAGGGGCCGUGGGACAAAGAGGACCUGUGAAGAUGGAUAUUGGAUGACGUCAUGCCCUGCUUGAGGAAGUGAGAACCCCAGAAGGCCCAGAUGGAAGCUCGGUGUCGGAAAUUGGGAUGGUCAGAGAGACGACAGUUUUGCUUCUUGAACCCCCAAGAUGCAGGAGAUGCAGAGUUAACAGAAGCCUAGAUGAGAACGACUUACUGCUGGAGGCAGGGGACCAGACCAUCAGAAGCACAAAAUGGUGGAAGAGUCUGUAAGAACUCUGAGAAACCAUAGAGGAAAGACUAAUGAAAGACGGGAGACGAAAGAGAAAGCAACAUGGAAAGCACAUCCUAUAGUAACAAAGAUGGACAGAUAACACUGAAAAAAGAAGGGGAUGAUUGGAAACAAGACGACUGCUUUCUAGAAGUCCUGGCGCCAGCUGGACAGUAGAACCAUGCCAGUCCCUUUCAUCAGAAGGACUGCAGAGAACAGUGAAACCAGGGUUGCCCGAACCAUCUUGCUUUUGGAUGCUGUUGGCAGAGCUGCCUUGAUCUUGGACUUCCUUCAGAUGAACUGGUCAGGCCCCAGCUUUUUCAUUGUCUCUCCUUGACUUCAGUCCAGGCAGGGAUGGCUCUGGGAUGCAGUAGUUCCUCGUGAUUGCUGCAGUACCUGGGAGAGAAAUCGUUUUCAGAAACUGGCCACUGCCGGGAAAGGGAGGCCCUGGUGGUCUGGCCCUGCCCGGGGGUUUGCUGUUGGUGAUUUUUCUUCUUCAUCCACAGAAUGUUUUACCUGGACACGGGCUUACCACGAACUACUCCCUGUUAUAUUUUUCUGCUUGUUUUUCCACACUGUUUCUCUGGAAGGCAAAUUCUGUCGAGAGGCAUAUUUGAGGAUGGGAGGGACCACCUCUUUCUAUGCGGAAGUACAGAGAAAAACAUCAUCCGAGAUUGCCCACAGUUGCCCUGUGCCCCUC